rnacentral:rRNA from 1 species
GACGAACGCUGGCGGCGUGCUUAACACAUGCAAGUCGAACGGAAAGGCCCUGCUUUUGUGGGGUGCUCGAGUGGCGAACGGGUGUGUAACACGUGAGUAACCUGCCCUUGACUUUGGGAUAACUUCAGGAAACUGGGGCUAAUACCGGAUAGGAGCUCCUGCUGCAUGGUGGGGGUUGGAAAGUCUCGGCGGUUGGGGAUGGACUCGCGGCUUUUCAGCUUGUUGGUGGGGUAGUGGCUUACCAAGGCUUUGACGGGUAGCCGGCCUGAGAGGGUGACCGGCCACAUUGGGACUGAGAUGCGGCCGAGACUCCUACGGGAGGCAGCAGUGAGGAAUAUUGCACAAUGGGCGGAAGCCUAAUGCAGCAACGCCGCGUGCGGGAUGACGGCCUUCGGGUUGUAAACCGCUUUCGCCUGUGACGAAGCGUGAGUGACGGUAAUGGGUAAAGAAGCACCGGCUAACUACGUG